AGAUAUCUCCAUUGAGAUCCAAGUUAGAUUCCACUGAGAUCUGAGAUUCCACAUCUACAUUCAAUGACCAUGCAUGACUUCCUAAACUGUAGCAGACUAUACAUAUAUUGAAGGUAAAAAAUCUACAAUUUGAAGAGUCUUCAAGAAAAGUAAUAGCUGUUGACGAUGAACAUCUUACUUGAACCAUCUUUAUAUUUUCCACUUUUCUUCAGAUGUCAGAGUGAUAUUCAGUGAAUCAAAGAUUUAACCAUUCUUGAUCAGAGUUAUGAUGUUCUUUAAAUGAUAGCUUGGCAGUUUUAUGAAGGUGAUCAGCAGAAUUGUCUCGCAGUGAGAAGUCUACCCCCAACUUUCUCCAUCAUUUUCUGAGGUUUACGCAUACAGAGGCAUUUUGUUGCAAAACGAAUAUGACUUGACAGCUGAAGAUUUUAACCAAGGAAAGACAACUUGAUGAACUUUGCUUUGACGGGUCAAUAACUACUAAACAAAAAUCAGGGACAUUGCUUAAAUGUUAAGAAAUAGUGCAAGCACAUUCUAAAAUGUAAGCUUCCAAGUGACCAAUAUAUAGGAUUCUUUGAUUUUUUAAAAUAAAACAGGCCAAAAUUUUUUUUAUUUCCUUACAAGGAUUAUAUAGGAAUUUAUAUUUUCUUUUUUCUCCCUUACUUUUUUAAGAAAUGAGCUAAAAUCCAUGGGUGCUUUGUACUACAUGUACCUUGAAUUACAAUAUUUUAGAAUAUGAUGUUUUACAAUUUUUAUGCCCCCCUUGGAAGAAGGUAGCGCAAAUUGCUUUGCUGCUGUCCGUCUGUCAGUCAGUUUUUUGGUACACCAUGAGUUUCCGUUCAUUUUCUUCUCAGAGGUUUUCACAUACUGAAAUGAAAUUUGGUAUACUGAUUUAUCAUAAGAAUAUCUAUGUUACUUGAAAUUAUAGGAAAGGGUUUUGAGAAUUUAAUUAAUUUCAGAACCCCUUAGGUUUAAAAAAAUAUUUUUGUUUCCUGUUACAUUCCCAAAAAAUCAAGGGUUGAUAGGUUGGGAAUUCUUUUUUUUUUUUUU